rnacentral:rRNA from 1 species
GAUGAACGCUGGCGGCGUGCCUAAUACAUGCAAGUCGAGCGAACGGACGAGAAUCUUGCUUCUCUGAUGUUAGCGGCGGACGGGUGAGUAACACGUGGAUAACCUACCUAUAAGACUGGGAUAACUUCGGGAAACCGGAGCUAAUACCGGAUGAUAUUUUGAACCGCAUGGUUCAAAAGUGAACGACGGUCUUGCUGUCACUUAUAGAUGGAUCCGCGCUGCAUUAGCUAGUUGGUAAGGUAACGGCUUACCAAGGCAACGAUGCAUAGCCGACCUGAGAGGGUGAUCGGCCACACUGGAACUGAGACACGGUCCAGACUCCUACGGGAGGCAGCAGUAGGGAAUCUUCCGCAAUGGGCGAAAGCCUGACGGAGCAACGCCGCGUGAGUGAUGAAGGUCUUCGGAUCGUAAAACUCUGUUAUUAGGGAAGAACAUAUGUGUAAGUAACUGUGCACAUCUUGACGGUACCUAAUCAGAAAGCCACGGCUAACUACGUG